rnacentral:lncRNA from 1 species
CUGACACCCCCAGCUUCUCAUCACCUCCAGGUCUGCGAUAAGUGUUGCAUAAAUUUUGGAAAAUCAUUGAGCCACAAAAUUGUAAAUUCAAGGAAGCUUCUAGUUUUAGUCAUCUGAAAGGCAGGGCUCCAGUUUCCCUGAGUUCCAGCAACGCUUCACUCUGGUGUUGACUUCAUUCUUGUGUGAGCUUUCUUCAGGAGGCAAGAAUAAUGCCAAGCCUGCAUCUUCACAGCCUGCUGUCCCAAGGAAUUAAAACAAUAACAGGAGAAUGGAAUAUCAGGACAGGGAAACAAGGAAAAACAUUAUCAUAGUGGUCCAGGCAAGUAUCAUUUAAGCUUAGUAAAUGAUGGUAAAGUGCGUUAUGCACAAAGGUCCUAGACCAUUCUUGAAGCCAUCCUUCAUCACCCCGGCCUAAAAUGCCCAUUCUUUUCUACCAGCCAUUAGAUGGUUUCUGAGUAUUUACUCUAACUGGGUGACAAGCUUGGCUCUGGGAAUACACCACUAAAAGACAUUUCUUAUGUCUUCAAAGAAUCUGGUGGGGGCUGUGGGUAAGUCAGCAGGGACAAUAUAAAGGGCUGGUUGUCAUCAUGGAGGAGUGCUGGAUGCAGUGGAGGUCCGUGGGAGGAGCACGACUCCAGCUUUGCAGGUAGAGAUGAGGUUGGAGAGGGAAGCAGGAAGCACACAUCGAAGGUCCUUCACAUCUGUCAUAGAGUUUGAAAUUUUUCCUUAGAACAAAGGGGAGCUGAUGAAGAAUUCUAGAACUGGAAGACACAGUCAGGCUCAGAACAUCUGAAAAUCAAGAUAAAACUCUCCUUCAUAAAAUGCCCGGAAAACUGAGUGCAUUUUAAGAAACCAAAAGAUAGCAGCAAAGUCAACAUGAAACUAAAGACAGACACUUGUCUGCAAACUAACAAUAAAAUUGAAAUGGAUCCUGAGAAGAAGGAAUAAGUAAAAAGCAUCAUGUGAAAGCAACUAAAUUCUGCAUCUUCCUUACCCAAAUCAUUCUCCUUUCUCUUUCCACCUGUAUUUUGGAAAGGUAAAAAUAUCUUUCAGAAACCUGGGAACUGGUUAAAUUUCAACACAUAGUUAGAAACUUCACAUUGGAGAUAAAAAGACUAAGAGAGUCAAAUAAAUGCAUUUUAGAAAGUCAGUUAAGAGAAGAUCAUCAAUGUUAAGUACAAACAAAAACAAAGUCUUCUGGAAAAGAAGGUAUAUACUGAUGUGGCAGUCUUGGAACAGAGGACAAGAAGAGUCUUCUAAAGGUUAAGAUUUCAGACAUUGGGAAUGAGGCUCCCUUUAGUCAGACACAAUAUGGGGCAGAGUCGAGGGCAGUGGCACUCAGACCUUAACGUGCCUAAGGAUUGUCUGGAGGGCUUGUGAAAACACAGAUUUCUGGACAACACCCCCAGAGAGUCUGGUUCAGCUGGUCUGGGAUGAGAUCUGGACUCUACACUUCUGAGCCUGCAG